rnacentral:rRNA from 1 species
GACGAACGCUGGCGGCGUGCUUAACACAUGCAAGUCGAACGCUGAAGCUCAGCUUUUGUUGGGUGGAUGAGUGGCGAACGGGUGAGUAACACGUGAGUAACCUGCCCCCUUCUUUGGGAUAACGCCCGGAAACGGGUGCUAAUACUGGAUAUUCACUGGUCUUCGCAUGGGGGUUGGUGGAAAGGGUUUUUCUGGUGGGGGAUGGGCUCGCGGCCUAUCAGCUUGUUGGUGGGGUGAUGGCCUACCAAGGCUUUGACGGGUAGCCGGCCUGAGAGGGUGACCGGUCACAUUGGGACUGAGAUACGGCCCAGACUCCUACGGGAGGCAGCAGUGGGGAAUAUUGCACAAUGGGCGCAAGCCUGAUGCAGCGACGCCGCGUGAGGGAUGGAGGCCUUCGGGUUGUGAACCUCUUUCGCUCGUGGUCAAGCCGCAACAAUGGUUGUGGUGAGGGUAAUGGGUAAAGAAGCGCCGGCUAACUACGUG